rnacentral:rRNA from 1 species
CCUACGAGAGGCUGCAGUGAGGAAUAUUGGUCAAUGGACGAGAGUCUGAACCAGCCAAGUAGCGUGAAGGAUGACUGCCCUAUGGGUUGUAAACUUCUUUUAUAAGGGAAUAAAACGAGGCACGUGUGCCUUGUUGUAUGUACUUUAUGAAUAAGAGUCGGCUAACUCUGUGCCAGCAGCCCCGGUAAUACGGAGGAUCCGAGCGUUAUCCGGAUUUAUUGGGUUUAAAGGGAGCGUAGAUGGGUUUUUAAGUCAGUUGUGAAAGUUUGCGGCUCAACCGUAGAAUUGCAGUUGAUACUGGAAGUCUUGAGUACAGUUGAGGUAGGCGGAAUUCGUGGUGUAGCGGUGAAAUGCUUAGAUAUCACGAAGAACCCCGAUUGCGAAGGCAGGUUACCAAGCUGUGACUGACACUGAUGCUCGAAAGUGCGGGUAUCAAACAGGAUUAGAUACCCGUGUAGUC